rnacentral:snoRNA from 1 species
CCCCUCUCAGGUCGCACUUGGAGAGUUUCCAGUACUCUACCAGUCUCGGCUAUGGGAGGGAGAGUCAGGCAGAGGCAUACUCAUUCCAUUCCUAGCUUGGGCAGUGGCUAGUGAGUGGAAGGCAAUCUGCUACAAGU